CAGCUUUACUUGCUAAAAGAAACAAAGCGCAAAUAUACUCAAAGUAUGCACAGAAAGCAGCAAGGCACAGACAUGCUUCAGGAUCUGAAACAGAGCAGAUAAACAGACCAGGUAACAAAUGGAUCCGAAACAGACCACGCUGCAGCCAGGCACAGGAGAGUGACUCCUGCAAGUGACAGCGCUGCAAGGAAACAAACGCCGCUUGUUCUCGACUGACCGCACUUCCGCCUCCUCCCCUCCCAUUCAAUCCCCGUGCUAGUGAUGCUCCCUCCAUCUGCAUGGCAUGCGGCUUCCAAAUACUUUUACUUUUUAGGUGAGGGAAGCAGGCUGGAGAAAGCAUGUGAUCACACGUCAAGAAUCUAAUUUUCCUCGGACUGAAACUAUUCCUUUCACCUGUGUGAUGGGCAUGAAAGAAGUUUUCAUCUGAGGCAAAUGAAAAAUAUUCCACCGCCUUCCCACCCUCCACCUUACCAGCUCUGUAAGGAAUAAAAGAAAUGAAACUUGGA